UACGUAGGUGGCAAGCGUUGUUCGGAAUUACUGGGCGUAAAGGGCGCGUAGGCGGCCUGCUAAGUCGGAUGUGAAAUCCCUCGGCUCAACCGAGGAACUGCAUCCGAUACUGGCGGGCUUGAAUCCGGGAGAGGGAUGUGGAAUUCCAGGUGUAGCGGUGAAAUGCGUAGAUAUCUGGAGGAACACCGGUGGCGAAGGCGGCAUCCUGGACCGGUAUUGACGCUGAGGCGCGAAAGCUAGGGGAGCAAACGGG
rnacentral:rRNA from 1 species